rnacentral:rRNA from 1 species
GACGAACGCUGGCGGCGUGCUUAACACAUGCAAGUCGAACGAGAAUCUACAGAUCGAGGAUUCGUCCAAGUGAAGUAGAGGACAGUGGCGGACGGGUGAGUAACGCGUGAGGAACCUGCCUUUCAGAGGGGGACAACAGUUGGAAACGACUGCUAAUACCGCAUGACACAUUGGGGUCGCAUGGCUCUGAUGUCAAAGAUUUAUCGCUGAAAGAUGGCCUCGCGUCUGAUUAGCUAGUUGGUGAGGUAACGGCCCACCAAGGCGACGAUCAGUAGCCGGACUGAGAGGUUGACCGGCCACAUUGGGACUGAGAUACGGCCCAGACUCCUACGGGAGCAGCAGUGGGGAAUAUUGGGCAAUGGGCGCAAGCCUGACCCAGCAACGCCGCGUGAAGGAAGAAGGCUUUCGGGUUGUAAACUCUUUGUCAGGGACGAGUAGAAGACGGUACCUGACGAAUAAGCCACGGCUAACUACGUGCCAGCAGCCGCGG